rfam:Salmo salar isolate Sally breed double haploid chromosome ssa06, whole genome shotgun sequence.
UGGCUCAGUUGGUAGAGCAUGGUGUUUGCAACGCCAGGGUUGUGGGUUCGAAUCCCAC